AUGGCGAGGGCGUCGUCGUCGCUGUCCAUGGGUGUGGUCGCCGCGGUGGCAGUGCUGGUGGUCCUGUGCAACGCCGUGCCGGCCGCCGCUCAGGGGAAGAAGGGCCCUCCGCCUCCUAAGCUAUCGUCCAACUUCAAGACGAUCCACCCGGGACGGUUCGGGAAGAGGGACCAGGUGCUCACCUGCGACGACCAACAGGACAAGAAGAACCCCUGCGUCGCCACCUGCGACAAGGACCGCUGCCCCCACGAGUGCAUCGUCAUGUGCCCAGGCUGCAAGACCUACUGCAUGUGCGACUUCUACCCCGGGGUGUCUUGCGGUGACCCGCGCUUCACCGGCGCCGACGGCAACAACUUCUACUUCCACGGCAAGAAGGACCAGAGCUUCUGCGUCGUCUCCGACGCCGACCUCCACAUCAAUGCCCACUUCAUCGGCAAGCGUAACCCCACCAUGAGCCGCGACUUCACCUGGAUCCAGGCCCUCGGCAUCCGCUUCGCCGACCACCGCCUUUACAUGGCCGCCCAGAAGACCGCCGAGUGGGACAGCGACGUUGACCGCCUUGAGCUGACCUUUGACGGCAUACCCAUCGACAUCCCCACCGAGAACGAUGCAGAGUGGCAGUCCACCAUCGUGCCCACCUUGACAGUCACCAGGACCUCCGCGACCAACGGCGUCAGGGUCCAGCUCAAGGGGGUGUUUGACAUCUUGGCCAAUGUGGUGCCCAUCACCGAGAAGGACUCGCGCAUCCACAACUAUGGCGUGACGGAGGAAGACAGCCUCGCGCACUUCGACAUUGGGUUCAAGUUCCACGCCUUCACUGAUGAUGUCCACGGAGUGCUCGGCCAGACCUACCGCACGGACUACGUCAACAAGCUCAGCGUGAGCGCCAACAUGCCCAUCAUGGGCGGCGCCGCCAGCUACGUCUCCUCCGACAUCUUCUCCACCGACUGCAAGGUUGCCAGGUUCGGCCGUAGCCGUGGCGCGAUCUCCAUGAUCACCACCAAGGCCAGUUAA
rnacentral:rRNA from 1 species